GACGAACGCUGGCGGCGUGCUUAACACAUGCAAGUCGAACGUGAUUUUUGUGGAAAUUCUUUCGGGAAUGGAAAUGAAAUGAAAGUGGCGAACGGGUGAGUAACACGUGAGCAACCUACCUUACACAGGGGGAUAGCCGUUGGAAACGACGAUUAAUACCGCAUGAGACCACAGAAUCGCAUGAUAUAGGGGUCAAAGAUUUAUCGGUGUAAGAAGGGCUCGCGUCUGAUUAGCUAGUUGGAAGGGUAAAGGCCUACCAAGGCGACGAUCAGUAGCCGGUCUGAGAGGAUGAACGGCCACAUUGGAACUGAGACACGGUCCAAACUCCCACGGGAGGCAGCAGUGGGGAAUAUUGCACAAUGGGGGGAACCCUGAUGCAGCGACGCCGCGUGAGCGAAGAAGGUUUUCGAAUCGUAAAGCUCUGUCCUAUGAGAAGAUAAUGACGGUAUCAUAGGAGGAAGCCCCGGCUAAAUACGUG
rnacentral:rRNA from 1 species